GACGAACGCUGGCGGCGUGCUUAACACAUGCAAGUCGAACGGAAAGGCCCUGCUUUUGUGGGGUGCUCGAGUGGCGAACGGGUGAGUAACACGUGAGUAACCUGCCCUUGACUUUGGGAUAACUUCAGGAAACUGGGGCUAAUACCGGAUAGGAGCUCCUUCUGCUUGGUGGGGGUUGUAAAGUUUCGGCGGUUGGGGAUGGACUCGCGGCUUAUCAGCUUGUUGGUGGGGUAGUGGCUUACCAAGGCUUUGACGGGUAGCCGGCCUGAGAGGGUGACCGGCCACAUGGGGACUGAGAUACGGCCCAGACUCCUACGGGAGGCAGCAGUGGGGAAUAUUGCACAAUGGGCGGAAGCCUGAUGCAGCAACGCCGCGUGCGGGAUGACGGCCUUCGGGUUGUAAACCGCUUUCGCCUGUGACGAAGCGUGAGUGACGGUAAUGGGUAAAGAAGCACCGGCUAACUACGUG
rnacentral:rRNA from 1 species